rnacentral:rRNA from 1 species
GGAAUCAGUGUCUAAGCUUAACGCGAUAAGUGUCCCGCCUGGGAAGUACGGUCGCAAGACUAAAAUUCAAAGGAAUUGACGGGGGCCCGCACAAGCGGUGGAGCAUGUGGCUUAAUUCGAGGCAACGCGAAGAACCUUACCCGGGUUUGACAUUGAGCGACGUUCGGUGAAAGUCGAAUUCCCUUCGGGGCGCAAAAACAGGUGCUGCAUGGCUGUCGUCAGCUCGUGCUGUGAAGUGUUCGGUUAAGUCCGGCAACGAGCGCAACCCAUAUCCUUACUUGCUAACAGGUAAUGCUGAGAACCUUAAGGAGACUGCCCGUGUUAAGCGGGAGGAAGGUGUGGACGACGUCAAGUCAGUAUGGCCCUUACACCCGGGGCUGCACACGUGCUACAAUGGCCGGUACAAAGGGCAGCGACACAGUGAUGUGGAGCGAAUCCCCAAAACCGGUCUCAGUACGGAUUGGAGUCUGCAACUCGACUCCAUGAAGAUGGAAUCGCUGAU